rnacentral:rRNA from 1 species
UCCGUAGGUGAACCUGCGGAAGGAUCAUUCACAAUGAGUGUUUUAUGGCACUCUUUAAAAAUCCAUAUCCACCUUGUGUGCAAUGUUUGUUGGGAGAGAGGCAACUCUUUCCCUUCACAAAUAUCAACCUAUAUCUUUAACAACAUUCGUCUGAUAACAUAUUAUGAAUAUACUUAAUUCAAAAUAUAACUUUCAAUAACGGAUCUCUUGGCUCUCGCAUCGAUGAAGAACGCAGCGAAAUGCGAUACGUAAUGUGAAUUGCAGAAUUCAGUGAAUCAUCGAAUCUUUGAACGCAUAUUGCGCUCUUUGGUAUUCCGAAGAGCAUGCUUGUUUGAGUAUCAGUAUACACCUCAACCUCCUCUUGUUUUUUCAAAAGGAGGGUGGACUUGAGCUAUCCCAACAACCUUCACCGGUAGGCGGGCGGCUUGAAAUGCAGGUGCAGCUGGACUUUUAUCUGAGCUAAAAGCAUAUCUAUUUAGUCCUCGUCAAACAGGAUUAUUACUAUUGCUGCAGCUAACAUAAAGGAUAAUUGUCCUCAUUGCUGACUGAUGCAGGAUUUUACGACACUUUAUGUGUUGUUCAACUCGAUCUCAAAUCAAGUAAGACUACCCGCUGAACUUAAGCUCAUCAAUAAGCGGAGGA